CUACGGGUUGCUCCAGUGAGGAAUAUUGCACAAUGGGGGGAACCCUGAUGCAGCAACGCCGCGUGGAGGAUGACGCAUUUCGGUGUGUAAACUCCUUUUAUAUGUCAAGAAGAUGACGGUAGCAUAUGAAUAAGCACCGGCUAACUCCGUGCCAGCAGCCGCGGUAAUACGGAGGGUGCAAGCGUUACUCGGAACCACUGGGCGUAAAGGACGCGUAGGCGGGUUGGAAAGUCGGGUGUGAAAUCCCACAGCUUAACCGUAGAACUGCACUUGAAACUUCUAAUCUAGAGUAUGGGAGGGGGAGAUGGAAUUAGUGGUGUAGGGGUAAAAUCCGUAGAUAUCACUAGGAAUACCUAAAGCGAAGGCGAUCUCCUGGAACAUUACUGACGCUAAGGCGUGAAAGCGUGGGGAGCAAACAGGAUUAGAUACCCGGGUAGUC
rnacentral:rRNA from 1 species